GUUGGUGAUGAUUUUGUUGGGGAUAAAACAAUUAAAACGGACUAAAAUGUGCUAAAUACAUAAUCAUCCCGGUUCAGUUUAUUGAAGCAGGAAAACAACGGAAUUUCACUGACUCGUGAAUGCUGAUAAUGCGUCGCUUCGCACAGCGCCAGGAAAUUGGCUAAUCCGUGGAUCUGCCGGCGAACCUUGCGAAGGUGAACUUGUUAAGUGCACAUACGUACGCGAAAGGGGUCCUGAUAACGCAGCUCAAAGUAUUCAGCCUUCUACACUCGGUAACGGCGGAGAGUGCGGCAAAAUCAAUCGAUCACUGUGCUUUUAAACAAAUGUUAAAAUAUCGUUCUUAACUGAUAAUAAUGAAUUCCUCAAUAUUUUUAAGUAAGUAUACAGAAAAUCUUAGAAAAUGUAAAAAGCAAUAUAAGGCAAUAAAUACGAAA